rnacentral:rRNA from 1 species
CAUGCAAGUCGAAGGCACUUGGGGGGCAACUCCCGAGUGACUGGCGAACGGGUGCGUAACACGUGAGCGAUCUACCCUGGUGUGGGGGAUAGCCGGCCCAACGGCCGGGUAAUACCGCAUGCGUUCUUUUGGAGGCAUCUCUGGAAGAACAAAGUCUUCGGACGCAUUGGGAGGGGCUCGCGGCCUAUCAGCUAGUUGGUAGUGUAACGGACUACCAAGGCGACGACGGGUAGCUGGUCUGAGAGGAUGGCCAGCCACAUUGGGACUGAGAGACGGCCCAGACUCCUACGGGAGGCAGCAGUGGGGAAUCUUGCGCAAUGGGCGAAAGCCUGACGCAGCGACGCCGCGUGCGGGAGGACGGCCUUCGGGUCGUAAACCGCUGUUGCCCGGGACGAAUGCCCCUACACGAGGGGAUUGACGGUACCGGGUGAGGAAGCACCGGCUAACUCCGUGCCAGCAGCCGCGGUAAUACGGAGGGUGCGAGCGUUGUCCGGAAUCACUGGGCGUAAAGGGCGCGUAGGCGGCUCUAGGAAGGCGGCGGUGAAAGCCCGGGGCUCAACCCCGGGUCGGCCGUGGCGACUCCUGAGCUGGAGCACGGUAGAGGCGGGUGGAAUUCCGGGUGUAGCGGUGGAAUGCGUAGAGAUCCGGAAGAACACCGGUGGCGAAAGGCGGCCCGCUGGGCCGUGGCUGACGCUGA